GGGAAAAAAAAAAAGGCAUUCAAUGCAAACACAAACAGCUUCAAUAGCUCCUGGAUGAACAGGAUGAAAAUAUGUUGGGAAAUGUGCAUGCAAUAUAUGUAGUGUGGAUUCCUACAGUAGUGAGGCUUAGACUCCCACCUCUGUUCCUGCAAAACUCAUGAACUCAUGCUGGAGAAGUUUUUGAAGAACUGCAGUCUGUGGGAAGCCCAUGUAGCAUCAGGCCAAAAAAGCAGUGGUGAAGGAAGUGAAAUCCAGCUGGUAACCAGUGGUGUUCCCCAGGGGUCAGUGUUGGGGGCCCAUCCUCUUUAAUACCUUUAUUGAUGAUUUGGAUGUGGGAAUUGAGUGCAGACAACACCUAGUUGGGGGGAAGUGUCAAUCUGCCAGAGGGUGGGAAGGCCCUGCAGAGGGACGUGGACAGGAUGGGUCAAUGGGCAGAGGCCAAUGGGAUGAGGUUCAACAUAGCUAAGUGCUGGGUCCUGCACUUUGGCCACAACAACCCCAUGCACUGCUACAGGCUUGGGGCAGAGUGGGUGGAAAUAUGUUCAGAGGAAAAGGAUCUGGGGGUGAUAAUCGAUGCUCACCUGAACCGAGGUGAGCGUCCCCUUGUAUUCUGCUCUGGUGAGGCCGCACCUUGAGUGCUCAGGAGGAAGAAAUAAUUGAUUUUUUUUUUUUUUUAUUGCCAUUAGAAAUUUUGGGUCCCAACUCUGAAACUUCAGAGCAGCUAUAAAGUGGAUGAAUACAAAAACAAGUUGCAGAGGAAAUUUCCCCCCAUACUGAUUUUAACUAGCAGCUAAUUUUCUUUGCCACUUUAGGGUAUCUGUAUCAAUCUCAAUAUUUUUUUUUUUUGAAUUACUUUUGCUUUUUUUCUUUCUUCUAGUCAAAGAACUAUAAUCAAAUCUUUUUUUUUUUUUUUUUUUUUUUUUUUUUUUUUGGUUUUUNNNNNNNNNNNNNNNNNNNNNNNNNUUUUUUUCCAUUUUUGGGUUUUUUUUUUAAUUUUAAUAUUUUUUUUUUUUUGAAUUUUUUUUUUUUUUUUUUUUUUUUUUUUUAAAGAACUAUAAUCAAAUCUUUUUUUUUUUUUUUUUUUUUUUUUUUUUAUGGGUCUUUGCAAUCUGCACAUCAGAGGAGGUUUUGAACCUGCAGACUCAUAUAUGAGUUCAUGUUUUGGUGGUAGUCUUCCAUUUUUUAGCUAACUCAAAAGGAAAAAAAAUGUAAAAUUAUUGUUCUUUCAAUUAAACUUGACGAAAAGCAUUAACUAUGGCUAGUACUUUUCUGUGAGAUUUCUUCAACUUUCAGCCCAGCAAUAAAAUCAUUCAUUGGCAGUAGGAAACUAUAUCA
rnacentral:lncRNA from 1 species